rnacentral:tRNA from 1 species
UCCCUGGUGGCCUAGAGCUUAAGGCUCUGACAUUGUCACUGCUAUGGCACAGGUUUGAUCCCUGCCCUGGGAA